rnacentral:lncRNA from 1 species
UCUGGGGACCUCUUGGGGUGUCCGGUACCGCACCGAAAUCUAACCGGAUGCUCCCUGGUUGACUUACACUUCCGUAUCGUAUGGCAUCCACCUCUGGCACCUGGCGCACUUUACUGGUUUUGGUUGGAAUGGGUGAAUAUCAUGCACCACCCCCUUUACCCUGACAGUUUGCACCCUGGAGGGUUGGGGAGUAAAAGCUGUCCAUGCCAAAACGGAAUUUGCCCAGUAGCAACUACCAUUUUCCCGCUGGACAGUCGUAAACAACAGAACACAGAGAGUGCAUGACGUUAUUUUAGUGUUGGUCAUUGACACAGACAUUUCUGAUGACUGUCACAUGCAGAAAAGGGGAGCAUCCAUUUGAUUACCCCGAGCGCUCUAAACAAAGGCCAAAAUGGAAAAGUAAUGAUGUUCAGGGUCCAGUGAUGUCUGCAAAUGGAUGCCGACCAGUUAGGCUGCAUCACCAAUGUGACCAGACAAAUAUUUUGCCCCACAAGCGUCUGGGAGUAGAGCUUGAAUAAACACAUAUUCUAAUAUGCACUGACAGCUUUAUGAUGAUAUAAAAAUCACAAUAAAUAGAUUGACUCAU